ensembl:snRNA LOC120095466 U6atac minor spliceosomal RNA
GUAGUCUAUGGAAAGAGAUGUUUAACAUUCCUCUUGACAAGAGCCUAAAGCACACAUAUGGGUAAGACAUUACCACCCACUUUGUGGCAUCUACUGCUUUUC